rnacentral:rRNA from 1 species
GACGAACGCUGGCGGCGUGCUUAACACAUGCAAGUCGAACGGAAAGGCCCUGCUUGCAGGGUGCUCGAGUGGCAAACGGGUGAGUAACACGUGGGUGAUCUGCCCCUUACUUUGGGAUAAGCCUGGGAAACUGGGUCUAAUACUGGAUAGGACCAUGCUGUAGGUGGUGUGGUGGAAAGAUUAGUUUCGGUAAGGGAUGAGCUCGCGGCCUAUCAGCUUGUUGGUGGGGUAAUGGCCUACCAAGGCGUCGACGGGUAGCCGGCCUGAGAGGGUGGACGGCCACAUUGGGACUGAGAUACGGCCCAGACUCCUACGGGAGGCAGCAGUGGGGAAUAUUGCUCAAUGGGCGCAAGCCUGAUGCAGCGACGCCGCGUGGGGGAUGACGGCCUUCGGGUUGUAAACUCCUUUCAGCCAUGACGAAGCCCUUGUGGUGACGGUAGUGGUAGAAGAAGCACCGGCUAACUACGUG